ACCCUCCUGGCAUUGCAUGGUCACCCCUGUGCCACAGCACCAGUCCCAGCUCCCAUCGGGCCCAGCAGGCGCCUCAGAGCCAGACAGAGGGGCUUCAGCACCCAGAGCUCAGCCUUGGCACCCACACCUCACUGCAGUGCCUGGGACUGUCAGGAAGCAUAUCUGUAUGGCUUUUUUUAUGGCUCCAGAUGUGGUUUGUGGGUUCCCAUCUCCGCUGAAUUAUUUGUCUUUUGCUUCUCAUCAGCUGGGCCCACAAAAGGGUGUUCCUGCCAGCUGCAGAGCAGGCCUGAGCCACUCAGCACAUUCCUAUCACACUGCUCCGGGAGCCCGUCUGAUGGCUGGUAACUGGCACUGCGCUAUGUCUGCAGGGAGAGCCAGCCUGGCCCAGCCUGCCGUACUGAGCAGGUUCAGCUGUCACUGUGUGUGUGUCUCUGGGCCUGUCAGAGAGCACUGCGUGUUCAGCUGUGGCUGUGCACCAUGGCUGUGGGAACUGAGCACUGAAAAUCAGGAACCUUCUAUUGGAUUGUAUGUGUCAGGUAAUUCCUGCUCAUGUUAAUCAUCGGCAAAUGUAAAAACGCUUUGAGACUUUGAUAAUCCUUGUGAAACAGCCUACGCUUUGGAGGAUGUAGCUGCCAUCAGAACAAAUCCUAAUAUCUACAAAUUUCUCAUUUAUCGAUGGAAUUCUGCUUCUUUCCUCUAAUCUCCUCUUGGAGAUUUUAUUUAUUGAGAAAACAAGAAACUGUUUUUACUGAUAACAGGUCCAACCCAUACCUCUGGUUCAGAGUAAUACCAGAUACUUAUCUGAGAUCAUCAUCUGCAGUUUUUCAAUUUCAAUGCAUUAGCCCUAACACUCACAAGAGAAAGAAGCAAUUUUAUUCAGAUCUUGUUCCACUGGGCCAAAAUCAACCUUGAGGUUCAACAUUCAGGAUUGUUUUGUUUUGCUUGUUUGGGUUUUUUGUAUCAAAAAUGAUUAGUGUUGACUGAUCCCUACUUUACAGGCUGCCACUUCAAUAGCAAUCCUGCGUGCUCAUUUAUAGACUCAUAGAAUCACAGAAUCACAGCACCAUAGAAUCAUUUGAGUGGAAAGGAAUACUUAAGGGCAGUCUAGUCCAACUCCCCUGCAGUGAACAAGGACACUUACAGCUGGAUCAGGUUGCUCACAGCCCCAUCCAGCCUGACCUUGAGUGUCUCCAGGGAACGGGGCUUCCACCACCUCUCUGAUUGACCUGUUCCAGUGCUUCACCACCCUUACUGUAAAAAUCUUUUUCCCUAUAUCCAGUCUAUCCAUUUAUGGGAAGGAAUAUUUUAGAUGUAGUUGUACUGCCGUGAUGCUCUGACUUUGAACUUUGAUUUCUGCAGGUUCUUUGCCAGAGCAUCCUCACAGCAAGUGAAAGGACAGAGAGCUAUGACUGAAUGGAAAGGCUGACUAAUUACUCCAAAGACAGAAAUCAAACACCAGAGCUCAAGUGGAAGAGAUUACAGUCCUGGAGCCUAAGCUCCCACGUGCAUUUGGUGAAAAGGAGACCUCUUUUAGACAAACCAUCCAUCAGAAUGGCAAAUUACCCCUGAAGUCUCAGCAUUGUGCUACUGAGUUCCUCUAGAAGCAACAGUGAAAAGCACAACCUAUCUGCUAAUUGUUUUACUUCAAUGCCUUUUGCUGAUAUGGAGAGCUUAGAAGAGCUCAGUAGUGGUUUCAAUUACUUGGGUAUAAAUCCAAAAAAUGACAGUGGGGUUGGGCCAGAUUUACAGAGCUGUAAGUGAGAUUUUAAGAAAUGUCUGCGUAGUUUCCUUUCAGGAUCUAUAUCUAAAUGUCUUAAUUAGCCUCUCAAUUCAAGGGUCUAAUUUCCACCACGGUUAAUGAAUUGCAUUUAUACACAGUAGCUAAAUUAUCUUGCCAGUUUUUACGGAAUAUUUUAAAGACUCUUUAUGAGAAAAAAGAGCCUCAAAGUUCUCCAGCUUUGUUUUUCCAAGUCUGAGGACUAAAUAUAGUGUACAUUCCCCAGAAAAUGUGAGUGAUGGGGAUUAGUAAUUCAUGAGUGAUGUGGCCCAUUUACAGCCUUAACAGCACAGAGCUCAUUGUUGCAUGGAGAGGAUCAAACAAAACAACUGGGUUGACUUUCAUGCAUUUAAAACAAUGAGGAAUAAAGGCUUAAUCGGCUAGAACUGCAAAUGCUCUCUCCCUUCCCCCCCCCCCCGUUUAGUUAACACUGAUGAAAAUACUGAAUCAUGGCUAAGAAUUAAGCUGUAAAGUGAAUUUUAAAAGGCAAAAGGGUAAUAAAUAAAAGCUCCAAAGUAUUAGAAGUUGGGGCUCCAAAUGAAUUUGGAUUAUGUAAUAAAGCUGUCAUCUGAUGAAAGAAGAAAUGUCCUCCCCAAACCUAUGGUUGUUUCUGAUUGCUGUGUUUUUAGUCCCUUUUUGAGAGGUACUAUAGGUAGUAGGUGGUCACCAUGAGGAAGUGCUUUGAGUCUGAGCUAUUUAUCAACAGCUGAUUGUUUCCACACCCUUCUCUUUUAUGUGAGAUAGACCUCAGUGCUGGCCCCCCAAAGGGAGGGAUGCCCUGUGCUAUAAGCUGGGCCCCUGGAAGGGCUGCACAGAGGAGCAGAGCAGUGCCCUGAGUGAGGUGACCGUGCUGCAGCCACCUCUGUGCAGUGCUGUCUGUGCAGCCCUCCUGCAGCUCCAGCAAAGGAAUGGCA